rnacentral:rRNA from 1 species
AUAAGCGGAGGAAAAGAAACUAACAAGGAUUCCCUCAGUAGCGGCGAGUGAACAGGGAAGAGCCCAGCACCGAAUCCCGCGGCCGCGUCGGCCGCCGGGAAAUGUGGUGUUCGGGAGCGGCCGAUUCCCGCGCCGCCUCGCGUUCCAAGUCCUCUUGAACGGGGCCACGGCCCGCAGAGGGUGCCAGGCCCGUAGGGGCGCGAGCGCGACGCGGGGGGGCCGUCUCCUCAGAGUCGGGUUGCUUGAGAUCGCAGCCCAAAGCAGGUGGUAAACUCCACCCAAGGCUAAAUACGACCACGAAACCGAUAGCGAACAAGUACCGUGAGGGAAAGU